GAUGAACGCUGGCGGCGUGCUUAACACAUGCAAGUCGAACGGUGAAGCAGAGCUUGCUCUGUGGAUCAGUGGCGAACGGGUGAGUAACACGUGAGCAAUCUGCCCCUGACUCUGGGAUAAGCGCUGGAAACGGCGUCUAAUACCGGAUAUGAGCUGUGAAGGCAUCUUCAGCAGUUGGAAAGAUUUUUCGGUUAGGGAUGAGCUCGCGGCCUAUCAGCUUGUUGGUGAGGUAAUGGCUCACCAAGGCGUCGACGGGUAGCCGGCCUGAGAGGGUGACCGGCCACACUAGGACUGAGACACGGCCCAGACUCCUACGGGAGGCAGCAGUGGGGAAUAUUGCACAAUGGGCGGAAGCCUGAUGCAGCAACGCCGCGUGAGGGAUGACGGCCUUCGGGUUGUAAACCCCUUUUCUCAGGAAAGAAGUUCUGACGGUACCUGAGGAAUCAGCCUCGGCUAACUCCGUGCCAGCCGCCGCGGUAAAAC
rnacentral:rRNA from 1 species